AUUGAACGCUGGCGGCAGGCUUAACACAUGCAAGUCGAGCGGAGAGAGGUAGCUUGCUACUGAUCUUAGCGGCGGACGGGUGAGUAAUGCUUAGGAAUCUGCCUAUUAGUGGGGGACAACAUUUCGAAAGGAAUGCUAAUACCGCAUACGUCCUACGGGAGAAAGCAGGGGAUCUUCGGACCUUGCGCUAAUAGAUGAGCCUAAGUCGGAUUAGCUAGUUGGUGGGGUAAAGGCCUACCAAGGCGACGAUCUGUAGCGGGUCUGAGAGGAGGAGCCGCCACACUGGGACUGAGACACGGCCCAGACUCAUACGGGAGGCAGCAGUGUGGAAUAUUGGACAAUGGGCGCAAGCCUGAUCCAGCCAUGCCGCGUGUGUGAAGAAGGCCUUAUGGUUGUAAAGCACUUUAAGCGAGGAGGAGGCUACUUUAGUUAAUACCUAGAGAUAGUGGACGUUACUCGCAGAAUAAGCACCGGCUAACUCUGUGCCAGCCGCCGCGGUAAUAC
rnacentral:rRNA from 1 species